rnacentral:rRNA from 1 species
GAUGAACGCUGGCGGCGUGCCUAACACAUGCAAGUCGAACGGAGAUUAGACGCUGAUGAGGCUUCGGCGGAUUCUUGUUUAAUCUUAGUGGCGGACGGGUGAGUAACGCGUGGGCAACCUGCCUCAUACUGGGGGAUAGCAGUUGGAAACGACUGAUAAUACCGCAUAAGCGCACAGCAUCGCAUGAYGCAGUGUGAAAAACUCCGGUGGUAUGAGAUGGGCCCGCGUCAGAUUAGCUAGUUGGUAAGGUAACGGCUUACCAAGGCGACGAUCUGUAGCCGGACUGAGAGGUCGGACGGCCACAUUGGGACUGAGACACGGCCCAAACUCCUACGGGAGGCAGCAGUGGGGGAUAUUGCACAAUGGAGGAAACUCUGAUGCAGCGACGCCGCGUGAGUGAAGAAGUAUUUCGGUAUGUAAAGCUCUAUCAGCAGGGAAGAAAGGCUCGUAAGAGAGAUGACGGU